CAGUGGAAAAAUUAUGAAAUUUGAAAUCAGGAAAAUGCCUGGGUUUUAGUCUAGACCCUGCUAUUGCUAGCUUUGUGACUCAUAGCAAUUUUCUUCAUCUCUCUGAUCCAAGUUUCCUGUAAAUAUCCUCUGGAGUGGUGAUAUAAAUGGUAAGAACUGUUAUAUGGAUCAAAUGAGCCAAACCAUUUGAAAGAAUUUUGUUUUAUUUCCUACUUUAAUGUUCUGUACAAGUGUAGUUAUUGUUAUUUUUAUUGAGAAUAAGGAUCUAGAGUAAUUUUUUGUACUUAUUUACUAAAAAUUAUAAAAAGUUAUGCUUCUUAUGGAAUGGCAGUUAUGAAAAAGACUUUUCCACUAUAAUUAUUUUGAGAUGGUAGUGACUGUAAUUGGGAAUUGUUAGACACUUGCUUAGAUAUUGGGAUGUGCUAUCAUCUAUUAGUAAUCUAGCCAGAUCUCUUUCUUUUUGACUACAGUACUGGUUCAUCUUUAAACCAAAAGCCCACUUAAGAAAGCUUUGUUCUUAUGCUGUGAGUUUAAUUUUGACAAUAAAUUUUAGACAAAAAUCACAGCCUUAUUUUCAGUUGAUACUAUAGGAUUCUUUCAGAAGACAAAAAGAAGCACCAUUUGAUCACAUUUUAAAAAUGUAGCAUGAAGCACUGUGCUAGGCGCUCCGGGAGAUGUCAAAAUGAAGCACACGUGCUUUGUGCUUUAGAUGCAUUUUUCUUCAGCAGAAAUCAGAACAACGUACAAAUUCACCACGUAUGUCACAAAGAAGGACGAGUCAGAGGGCAAAGUGAGUUUAAAAAAGGAAGAGAUUAUUUCUGGCUCAGGGUUCAGCACCCUCCAUUUUCAGGCCACGCACUGAGCCACACUGAGCCAGUGUAUCCGAGUAUCAUCAGGGACCUGGAAAGGACUUGGCAAGCCAAUUUAUUGACCUUCACAAAGGAUUAUAUUUAAGCCAUCUCAGACAGAUAGAAUCUAUUCUCCAUUGGGGGAAGAAAUCCUUCUCUUGAAGGAGAGUCUAUAACCUUCCUUAUUAGCUCAUUUCAAUAUUUAACAGCCUUCGCUUGCUGCAGAGAAGCCUGUUUUAACUCACACAUGAACAUCAGGAUUUGUCCUACCCAGACUCAGUGAACACCAACUUGCCUCUUUAUGCUAGGCAACCAUUAUCUUUGGAGACCCCCAUAUUAUUGCUUUAGUUGGUUAACCAAUUAAACUAAUAAUUCUGGGAGUCAGAAUAUAAUACUGGUUAGGAGUGCUGAGAGUCAGGCAGUCCUGGAUUAGAGUCUGGGCUUCUUCACUUUUCUGUUAUAUCACAUUGCGAAAAGUUACUUAAAACCUCUGAACCUCAAUUUUGUUACUCAUAGAAUGGGUAUAAUAACACAUCUGCCUCUUCAAAUUGUGGUGAAGAUGAAAACAGUGCAUGUUUUAGGCUGAACUACCUGAAAUUACCAGGUAUGACCUGGUCAUAAUAUAUGACCCUUUUGGCCAAUAAACACAGCAAUUCUAUGCAAUUCAAUCUAAUAAAUGCCUUAGCAAAGUGCCUAGAGUCUACCAAAUAGUCACCAUUAUCAACAAAAGAAACAACUAUUAUUAUUAUUGCACUGCUGUCAUUAUCAUUGUCAUGGUCUGCAAUAUCCAGACUCAGUGCUGGAGGAUAUUCCUGCAAGGAAGCCAGUAUAAAAAUGGUUAGAACAUUGUUUUGUGGAGCUGUGUGUAUAAUGCUAUAAAUGUGGGAAAGUAGAACAUCUGGGUUGGCAGCCUGCAGAAGUCAGGGAAGGCUCCAGAGAGGCGGCAACAUUUGGACUGGGACUUGUAGGGUGAGUUGGAGAUUUCUGAAUAGAGAAAUCGACAGAACAAAAGCAGUAAUAGGUGUGACCAAAUCCUUAGGUCUUAUUUUUGUUUCUGCCUCUGACACAAUUUAUUUCCUUCCCCAAUUCUUAAAACAACCUUUUCUUUAUUUACUAUGUUCUGUGAUGCUAGACUUUCUUUGUUCCUUCUUAUUUCUUCAUAGCUGUCUUUGUUUUCUCAACUCGUAUUCCUCUUACUGGGAAGAGGAAAGGGCAUGUGCCCAGAGCACAGAGCGAAGAGGGAAUGUGGGAGAUUUGGGAACCUGCAGUGAUUUUUUUGUGGCCAGAGGAUAAAAUAGGGCCAGUGGUGUGGAAGGAAUUGAAAGUAGAGAGAGGAGAAGGGAGGUGGCUCAAAAGAAACAAAAAUUUUUAUUGGGGAAGUGCCAUGAUUGGUUUUGUAAGUUUGAAACUUUUCUCCAAGGGUUUUAUAGAGAAUGAUUGGCCUGGAGCAAGCAUAGAAGCAGAGAGGUGCAUAAGGAGGCUAUUGCAGCAGCUCAGCUGAGAAAUAGUGUAGGCAGAGCCCAGGGCAGCAGCAGUGUGCCUGAAGAGGAGUGGAUGAAAAUGAACUAUUUCCAAGUCCUCCUGGGACUCCAGUAAGACAAGUCUUGCCUUUCAUGUGGACUCAUACAAUGUAGGUGCUCACAUUGGUGGAGUAAGAAGCACUGCACAGAAAUAGCUCAUUGGCAGAAUUGUGCUCUCAAGGAUGGAUAUCUUCAAGCCAUCCUUGACUCUCUAGAGCAGAAAGACAAACAAGUGUAAUGCUGAGGAAUGGGAAAAAUGUUUAAUUGCAAGCAGAAGAAUCUCACGUGAAAUUUUUACAAGUGAGGAAACGGAAGCACAAAAAGGCUGUGCUAAGGUCAAGCAGAUCAUACUGCCUAACAGGACUCCAAAAGUCAACUUUUGAGGUAAGUAGGACGUGUUAUUUUUGCUAUUUUCUGCUGCGGAAUUUGAGGUACAGACAUGUCGUGGAUUGACCCCAGUCACAAAGCUGUUUGGUGGCAUGACCAGGCCCAGAACUGAUCUGCUUUCUGCAACCCAGUGUCUAACCAGGAUUUUGGCACCAUUGGUAGUCACUUUGACAUGUCAAUAAUGAUAAUUGCAAAGAAGACUGUUGUUCCAAGUAAUUGAUAACACAGCAUCUGAACCUACCUGGAUACUUUUUCAAUAUCUAAAGGAUUAUGUUGUAUAAAAAGAUGCUUGAAGCUCAGAAAAAAUAAAAGAUGAGCACUUCUGGAAUUUACUGUCUUAAACAUGUUCUGCAGAAUUACUCCAUUUUUGUCCUCUGUUAACAUUUUAAGAAGAUUCCAGUUCUUUUUGGACCUUUUUAGUUGUCAUGGAGCCCAGCCCAUGCCUUUGAGGCAGGGAGCAGGGAAAUGGUGAAAGUCAAGUGACUCUUAGCUUGUGCUGUUGUCAUCCUCUCUGGACUAUUGCUACAUUUCUAGACUACUCUCAUUCUCAGCCCACGUAGGAAAUCAGAAGAUAAUUUAAAGUUAAAUAAUGAUGGCUCAGAGCUUAAAGCACUU